rnacentral:lncRNA from 1 species
AUUCCAGUAUGACAUCCUUGCACAGCACCAUUUCACCAUCUACGAGCCUUACUCCAACCAGCACUACAGCAAACAUGCCUGAGUCUUCCUCAGACACCUCACAUUCCAUGACAACGACUACUCCACCUCUCAAAAAUGAAACCACGGCAGUAACGACUCCUCCCAUAAAUUGUGACCAAAUUACUCUUACAAUGGAAAAUUAUACCUACACUCAGAACUCAGUCAAUGGAAAACUGAAAGUUUUGGAACAAAAUAAAGAAAUAACUUCAUUCUCUCUCAAAUGUAAAUCCAAUUGUACUAUAGAAAACAAUAUUAUCAGAGGACUUCAGGAAUGUCAAACAUAUGACAUUGAAAUAGGCGUUCGUAGUUAUAACAUUGUACGUUCAAUUGAUGUCCCACCUGAUGAAAAAAGUUACUCCUUUGGGACUGAAGUAAUAAGUGACCACUCUUUUCAUUUAAGUUGGACUAGAAACUCCUCACUUAAAUGUAAUUUGACCUAUUCGUAUUCCUGUCAUAAUGAUAAAACAAAUGAGACCUUGAAAGAUGAACGAAAAAGUAACAGUAAAUAUAAGGAGACUAGAAACUGUAAUUUGAUCAACUAUGCAGACAGUAAUGGCUUGGUCAACCAUAUUUCAAAUCCCUGUAUAGAGCUGAUAGGUCUGUCAGCCAACACUCGUUAUUAUUGUACUUCAAAAAUCUUUUUUAAAACCAACAAAACGAUCAAAGAAGAUAUGGCAAAUAUAACAACAGAUUAUGGAAAACCAGAGAAACCUCAACUAGAUGGUCCAGUAAGCCAAACUUCUACAAGUGUAUGGUUUAAAUGGAAACCACCACCAAAUGAAAGAGGCCCUAUUCAUGGCUAUAAAGUGAAAUGUGGUAAUGAAUGUGGGAAUAAAGAUGAAGGCAAGUAUAUUUUUCUUUGAUAUUUACCAUGUAACGGAGAUGGAUUUCUACCUUAUG